GCACAAGCGGUGGAUGAUGUGGUUUAAUUCGAUGCAACGCGAAAACCUUACCCACCUUUGACAUGUACGGAACCCUUUAGAGAUAGAGGGGUGCUCGAAAGAGAGCCGUAACACAGGUGCUGCAUGGCUGUCGUCAGCUCGUGUCGUGAGAUGUUGGGUUAAGUCCCGCAACGAGCGCAACCCUUGUCAUUAGUUGCUACAUUCAGUUGGGCACUCUAAUGAGACUGCCGGUGACAAGCCGGAGGAAGGUGGGGAUGACGUCAAGUCCUCAUGGCCCUUAUAGGUGGGGCUACACACGUCAUACAAUGGCUGGGUACAAAGGGUUGCCAACCCGCGAGGGGGAGCCAAUCCCAUAAAGCCAGUCGUAGUCCGGAUCGUAGUCUGCAACUCGACUACGUGAAGUCGGAAUCGCUAGUAAUCGUGGAUCAGAAUGUCACGGUGAAUACGUUCCCGGGUCUU
rnacentral:rRNA from 1 species